rnacentral:rRNA from 1 species
AUAGACAUGCAAGUCGAGCGAACAGAAGGGAGCUUGCUCCCGGAUGUUAGCGGCGGACGGGUGAGUAACACGUGGGUAACCUGCCUGUAAGACUGGGAUAACUCCGGGAAACCGGAGCUAAUACCGGAUAGUUCCUUGAACCGCAUGGUUCAAGGAUGAAAGACGGUUUCGGCUGUCACUUACAGAUGGACCCGCGGCGCAUUAGCUAGUUGGUGGGGUAAUGGCUCACCAAGGCGACGAUGCGUAGCCGACCUGAGAGGGUGAUCGGCCACACUGGGACUGAGACACGGCCCAGACUCCUACGGGAGGCAGCAGUAGGGAAUCUUCCGCAAUGGACGAAAGUCUGACGGAGCAACGCCGCGUGAGUGAUGAAGGUUUUCGGAUCGUAAAGCUCUGUUGUUAGGGAAGAACAAGUGCGAGAGUAACUGCUCGCACCUUGACGGUACCUAACCAGAAAGCCACGGCUAACUACGUGCCAGCAGCCGCGGUAAUACGUAGGUGGCAAGCGUUGUCCGGAAUUAUUGGGCGUAAAGGGCUCGCAGGCGGUUUCUUAAGUCUGAUGUGAAAGCCCCCGGCUCAACCGGGGAGGGUCAUUGGAAACUGGGAAACUUGAGUGCAGAAGAGGAGAGUGGAAUUCCACGUGUAGCGGUGAAAUGCGUAGAGAUGUGGAGGAACACCAGUGGCGAAGGCGACUCUCUGGUCUGUAACUGACGCUGAGGAGCGAAAGCGUGGGGAGCGAACAGGAUUAGAUACCCUGGUAGUCCACGCCGUAAACGAUGAGUGCAAGUGGUU